rnacentral:rRNA from 1 species
GAUGAACGCUGGCGGCGUGCCUAAUACAUGCAAGUCGAGCGAACAGACGAGGAGCUUGCUCCUCUGACGUUAGCGGCGGACGGGUGAGUAACACGUGGAUAACCUACCUAUAAGACUGGGAUAACUUCGGGAAACCGGAGCUAUUACCGGAUAAUAUAUUGAACCGCAUGUUUCAUUAGUAAAAGACGGUUUUGCUGUCACUUAUAGAUGGAUCCGCGCCGCAUUAGCUAGUUGGUAAGGUAACGGCUUACCAAGGCAACGAUGCGUAGCCGACCUGAGAGGGUGAUCGGCCACACUGGAACUGAGACACGGUCCAGACUCCUACGGGAGGCAGCAGUAGGGAAUCUUCCGCAAUGGGCGAAAGCCUGACGGAGCAACGCCGCGUGAGUGAUGAAGGUCUUCGGAUCGUAAAACUCUGUUAUUAGGGAAGAACAAAUGUGUAAGUAACUAUGCACGUCUUGACGGUACCUAAUCAGAAAGCCACGGCUAACUACGUG